CGGCAACAGCUCAAAUUUGAAAUCUGGCCCCUAGGGUCCGAGUUGUAAUUUGCAGAGGAUGCUUUUGGCGAGGUGCCUUCCGAGUUCCCUGGAACGGGACGCCAUAGAGGGUGAGAAUCCCGUAUGUGACUGGAUACCUAUGCUCAUGUGAAGCUCUUUCGAC
rnacentral:rRNA from 1 species